CAGCUUUUCUGAGCAAACAGUCUAAUCUACCUACUAGUGUAUCCUCAGCGUCCUCUUCUAACAACAAAAUCAAUUGAGCUGGUGGGUUAUGAUAAGCUUGGAGCAGGAAAAAAAAUGCUACGGUUGCCGUGAUGAGCUACAUUGGUUAUGAUAUUGAAGAUGCCGUUGUCAUGAACAAGUCAUCCCUCGACCGUGGUUUUGGCCGUCGUAUAACAAAUGAAAAAGUAUCAUUAUCCAUUUCGGAAAGCAUGUGCUGAUUGUGUAUCUGUCAUUUUUAUACGUGCAUGAUGUUUGUUGGUCUAAGUAGAACACUGUGAUUGGAUGGGGGUAGAGAAGAUAUAGGAAGAGAAUUUUUUAUUUAAUUUU